rnacentral:rRNA from 1 species
UACGUAGGGCGCAAGCGUUAUCCGGAAUUAUUGGGCGUAAAGAGCUCGUAGGCGGUUUGUCGCGUCUGCCGUGAAAGUCCGGGGCUCAACUCCGGAUCUGCGGUGGGUACGGGCAGACUAGAGUGAUGUAGGGGAGACUGGAAUUCCUGGUGUAGCGGUGAAAUGCGCAGAUAUCAGGAGGAACACCGAUGGCGAAGGCGGGUCUCUGGGCAACAACUGACGCUGAGGAGCGAAAGCGUGGGGAGCGAACAGG